UCUCGAUUGGUCUAGUGGUAAGGAUACCUGCUUGUCAUGAUAAGAAAUUCGCAGGUGGCCGGGGUUCGAUUCCCCGAUCGAGAG